UUUGAUUCUUCGGAUGAAGAGGUUUGUGACUGAGUGGCGAACGGGUGAGUAACGCGUGAGGAACCUGCCUCAAAGAGGGGGAUAACAGUUGGAAACGGCUGCUAAUACCGCAUAAGCCCACGGCCCGGCAUCGAGCAGAGGGAAAAGGAGUGAUCCGCUUUGAGAUGGCCUCGCGUCCGAUUAGCUAGUUGGUGAGGUAACGGCCCACCAAGGCGACGAUCGGUAGCCGGACUGAGAGGUUGAACGGCCACAUUGGGACUGAGACACGGUCCAGACUCC
rnacentral:rRNA from 1 species